rnacentral:misc_RNA from 1 species
GAUGAAGAACGCAGCGAAAUGCGAUAAGUAAUGUGAAUUGCAGAAUUCAGUGAAUCAUCGAAUCUUUGAACGCACAUUGCGCCCGCCAGUAUUCUGGCGGGCAUGCCUGUUCGAGCGUCAUUUCAACCCUCAGGCCCCCAGUGCCUGGUGUUGGGGAUCGGCCCAGCCUUCCUGUAAGGCCGCCGGCCCCGAAAUCUAGUGGCGGUCUCGCUGUAGUCCUCCUCUGCGUAGUAGCACAACCUCGCAGUUGGAACGCGGCGGUGGCCAUGCCGUUAAACACUCCACUUCUGAAAGUUGACCUCGGAUCAGGUAGGAAUACCCGCUGAACUUAAGCAUAUCAAUAAGCGGAGGA